rnacentral:rRNA from 1 species
AGCAGCCGCGGUAAUUCCAGCUCCAAUAGCGUAUAUUAAAGUUGCUGCAGUUAAAAAGCUCGUAGUUGAAUUUCGGGAUCAAUAUGUUGGUCGUGCCUCGGUACGUACUGGCUUAUUGGUUUCUCCCUUCUGACGAACCAUGAUGUCAUUUAUUUGGUGUUAUGGGGAAUCAGAACUGUUACUUUGAAAAAAUUAGAGUGUUUAAAGCAGGCUCACGCUUGAAUACAUUAGCAUGGAAUAAUGAAAUAGGACGUUUGAUUCUAUUUUGUUGGUUUCUAGGAUCGACGUAAUGAUUAAUAGGGAUAGUUGGGGGCAUUAGUAUUCAAUUGUCAGAGGUGAAAUUCUUGGAUUUAUUGAAGACUAACUACUGCGAAAGCAUUUGCCAAGGAUGUUUUCAUUAAUCAAGAACGAAAGUUAGGGGAUCGAAGACGAUCAGAUACCGUCGUAGUCUUAACCAUAAACUAUGCCGACUAGGGAUCGGAUGAUGUUGAUUUUUUAAUGACUCAUUCGGCGCCUUACG